AUCAGAUCCGGCAAAUUUCGCCGGCGGCCGGCCACCGUGCGCGGUGGUUCCGGCGGUGGCUUCGGUGGGCUAUGGAGAUGAUUCAACUUCCAGAGGCUUCCUCGUAAAUUUUUGGAAUUUUUGAGACACAGAUAAACUUCGGGUGAUCGAGGUCAGCUAUUUUCCUGCAUCCAGCAGCCACAAUAGUCAUCGGUGUACUGCCACAGGAGGAGUUAUUUUACAGAGCAACCUGUUUUCUUCCUCGCAGGUUUAACGUCGAUUAUUUAAUUGUAUUAUUAUUCUCUAAAUUUGUAAUUUAGGACUCCGCAUGUGCUAGUAGUAGCAUUAAGCCUGUCGGGGACUGUAUGAAUUCAAGUUUUUGUAUUAAUAAAUGAAAAGAAAAAUUAUAUGAGUUUUAAAUGGUUAUAAAUGAGGUAACAUGGUUGAGCUGGGCUCCCCUAAUUUUUAUUUUUGAUAA